rnacentral:rRNA from 1 species
CAGAGGGGGCAAGCGUUGUUCGGAAUUACUGGGCGUAAAGGGCGCGUAGGCGGCCUUCUAAGUCGAACGUGAAAUCCCUGGGCUCAACCCAGGAACUGCGUUCGAUACUGGGAGGCUUGAAUCCGGGAGAGGGAUGCGGAAUUCCAGGUGUAGCGGUGAAAUGCGUAGAUAUCUGGAGGAACACCGGUGGCGAAGGCGGCAUCCUGGACCGGUAUUGACGCUGAGGCGCGAAAGCCAGGGGAGCAAACGGGAUUAGAUACCCCGGUAGUCCUGGCCCUAAACGAUGAAUGCUUGGUGUGGCGGGUAUCGAUCCCUGCCGUGCCGAAGCUAACGCAUUAAGCAUUCCGCCUGGGGAGUACGGUCGCAAGGCUG